AUGGAGGCUGUUCGUGAGAACAUUCGCACAUCCCGACUGCUUAUUCAAAUCUUCUUCAUCUUUGCAUUUUUCGUUGGCACCUCAACAUUCUUCCUUCUCAAAUUCUCUGCUUCAUUGACGGAUCCAUCUCAGAAAUGGACAACUAUAAAAAAUGGCUUCAUGUAUGAUAUUCUGAUAUGUAUUGGUACUACAUGCACAACUACUGUAUUCCUUCAAUUUUUAAUUCCGGAUGAUACACUGAAAAAAUGGAGACUGAAAUUUCAUUUGUCAUGUCAACAACGAAGUGUGACUCCGGAAGGAAAGAGACUUCGAUUCAGAAGUAUUCAUGGAAUAGAUGUUGAAGUUGGAAAUGGAACUGCAGAAGAAGAGGCUAGAGUAUACUUCACACAAUUAUCACAAGCCUGGAAACUCUAGAAAAUUCAAAAAAAAUAUGUGAUGACUGAUGGAAUGUGAAGAACACAUUUAAGAAGAAACAAAAACAAGAAAUUCUUCCUCACAAAACACUUCCUCAAAACAACCAUGUCUGACUCCAUCAUCACCCGCUCCGAAGUUAACAUGCACUGUAGCGAAGAUGACUGUUGGAUUAUUGUUGGAAACUAUGUCUACGACGUCACAAAGUUCGUCGAUCUCCACCCAGGAGGCCCAGAAAUUCUUCUCGAAUUCGCCGGAGGUGAUGCCACCGAUGCUUUCGAGUCCGUCGGACACUCAAUGUGUGCCCGCAUGAUGCUCACAAAGUUCAAAAUUGGCUCUUUACCAGAGGAUGAGCGUCCAGAUUUUAUUCAAGCCGAAUACAUCACUCAUGCAAAGAUCUCUCUUCCAAUGGCUCAUUAA
rnacentral:misc_RNA from 1 species